CAUUAUUAUUAUUAUUAUUAUUACUAUUAUUAAUAUUUAAAACAGUUGAGUACAUUAUAAUUAUAAUUUAUUAUUUAUUUUAAAACUACUUUUACUUAGGAAGGAUGCUUUAAACUGAUCAAAAAACAUUUAUAAUUUUACAAGAUUUCUAUUUCAGAUAAAUGUUGUUCUUCUGAACUUUCUAUUCAUCAAAGAAACCUGAAAAAAUUCUACUCGGCUGUUUUCAACAUAACAAAAACAAAUGUUUUUUUGAGCAGCCAAUCAGAAUAUUAGAUUUCUGAAGUAAUGAUGCUGGAAAUUCAGCUUGAAAUCACAGGAAUAAAUUACAUUUUAAAAUAUAUUCAAAUAGAAUACAGUUAUUUUAAAUAGUAAAAAUAUUUCAAAAUUUUACUGUUUUUGCUGUGCUUUGGAUCAAAUAAACACAGACUUGGUGAGCAGAACUUUUGAGGCAAGUCAGCAUAUUAGAACGAUUUUUGACGAAUUAUGUGACCCUGAAGACUGAAGUAAUGAUGCUGAAAAUUCAGCUUUGCCAUUGCAACAAAAAACUGCAUUUUAAAAACAUUAAAUUAGAAACCGGUUCUUUUAAUUAGUAAUAAUUUUUCAUAAUAUUACCAUUUUUACUAUAAUUUUAAUAUAAAAUAUUUGGAAAAGAAAUUGAAGCGAUUGGGGUAUUUCAAGAAAUUGAGAUCACUUGAGCAAGUACAUUUCAAAGGAACUGAAAAGAUGUGCAUGUAAUUAAUCGGGGUGUGAGGCACUCCACCUGGCCGACUUUAGGAUAAUAGGUCGGCUCUGUUGGUGACGUCCGAAAGACAGCCCACAGGGAGAGAGGGCCAUUAUGGGGAAAUCCCCAAACAACCUUGCAAAAAUGAUACACCAGUAUUUUGUCAAAUUAAAAAGGGUAUGGCCAAAAAUGCAUGCAAGAUAUAGGAAAGUAGAUCAAGUAUCAUGAUUUUACGGAAGAAGGUACACUGAGUGUUACAAGAUAGGGUAGUAAAGGAGUCAGUUGAGGAAGGGAGUAAGAAACAGAAAGGGUGCUGUGUGAAGCGUAUGUGUGAGAAAUGUGUACAGACAGUGGAUUGUUGGAUAAGAGAGAAAGGAGGGCAAUGCAGAAAGAAUUGGAAUGUAGAAAUGAGAAGGGAAGAAAAAUGAGCAAUGUAAAGAAAACGUAACUGCAACACAUAGAUCCACCCCUUUGAUGUGUUUAUUUCUCCACAUGUACCACUGCUGUAUCAUCACUAUCCCGUGGCUGAGCUGCAAGCCCUAAAAGUGGACCCUGAUCUCGACUGCUCUCCACCAAGAAGACGGACAGCACCAGUGGCAAGACCACCAGCACUGCCAGCGAGACCGGCAGUACCGUCAGCAAUACCAAUAGCACUGCAACCACAGGCGGUGGCAGCUGGAGGGCAAAAAAUGAUUCCCAAAACCCCCAAUGAAGAGGUCGACAAGGAAAGGACUCGCAGACGUCCCCCACCAAAGAAAAGAAAGACAAGAAACACCAUAAAGAAAGAAAAUGAAACGCCAGAGCAGAUGUUCUUCCUUACAGAGCAUGCAGACUUUUGCUUUAGGAGCAAAGAAAGACCAGUGGAAACAAUCUGGAUGUACAAUGAAUAAUGGUGUUUGGAUGAGCUGUGAUGGCAAGCCUUGUUUACCUCGACACCUUUUUGCUCAUUACGCUAAAAUGAUGCAUGGGUUGGACAAUGCAUCAAAAGAGGGAACGGUUGCACAAAUUAAAGAACUGUGGUUUACAAAGGGGUUCACAACAUUCGCAGAAAGUUUUUGUAAAUUAUGUGUUAUUUUUAACACUCACAAUGUGGUAAAAGUGACAAAAAUGUCCCAAGCAGCAGCAGUAGCAAAGGCUCUGUUGACUGACAUUCAGCUCAGGUGGAGCGAUAAAAUGAUAAAAUGCUAUAAGAAAAAACUAAUUGGCCAAGUGUUGUGAGGAAACUGGAUUGACAUGGGUUAAUUGUUCUCAUGGGCAUGAGAAUGAGAAAGAGAUCCAGGGUGAACUGAGCUCAUUUGAAAUUCUCUUGGGAAUGGAAGGGAGCAAACAACAGCUGCCAUCAGUAGAAUUGUGUGAGCAUGACAUGCUGAGUUACUGCAAGUGGCGAAAGUGGCAGAAACCCCUUUGCAUGACAUUAAACCUGGUAGCUUUAUGGUGGUAUAAGACCUGAAGAGAAAGAGUUGGAAAGCAAAAAGGUGCUUCUGAUUACCCACAUGGCUGUGAAGGUAGCUGAAGGAACCAUGUGGAUUCAUGACAACCACUGCAGAAAAGUCCCAUCUACACCCCGGAAGGAGGAGCAGAUGGAGUAAAGAGAUUUGAGGCACAUGUCAACAAAUGCCAGAGUCCGGUUUAAACACAAAGUGCUUUUACUCACAUGAUGACCGUAAAAAGAGCCUGAACAAGCAAACAAUUAUUGGUUUGAAUAGUUAGCGAAUUUGUGGGGAGGACGGGGAGACUGGCUGUGUAAUACUGUGUUACCAGUUUUGGCAGCAGGAUUGUUGGUGUUACUGGGCCUACCAUGUAUUUUUCAGCUUGUAUCAAGCUCAGUUCAGAGACUGGUGAAAACUAGUGUGUCCCAUCAAAUGGUUAAAUUGGAUGUGUAUCCUGGCAAUGUGGGUUUGAGCAUGUGUGAAGAUGAGCUAACGAUAGUGGAUGUUACAGUGAAAUGCAUGCAAUGGCUUAAUGAGACAAUAAUUGGUACUGAAAGUAUGGGGCAUUUAGUUUUAAUGAUAAGCCUAUGAUAAUGAUAAUCUAUAUCUAUACAUAUAUAAUCUCUUUUGCUUGCAAGAAAACUAGGGCCUGUACCCACAAAAACAACCUUAGCAUGUUUUCUCUUAUUUCACACAUUUAAGAGGGUGAUCAAUUAUAUGAAAAUCAGAAAUGAAGAGUAUAAAUGUGAUGUGGUGACUUAAAUUUGCUUUGAGAUUUGAAAUUGUAAGCAACACUCAUGUUUGGUGUCUGUGUAGUGACUGAGGGUCUGACCCAUGUCAGGAAUGCAAUAACAGUGUUUAUUAGUUUAGCACGGCUCACAGAUAGCGAAUGUGGUGAUUUAGGAUUAUUAUAACCAUUAUUUUAAUCAAACAUUUUAAAUUAAUAGACUGAGUAGUAAUUAAUUUACCGAGUAGUUAUCAAUGAAUGAUAAAAAGGGGGAAAUUGUGGAAGAAAAAUUCAUUUUACUUAUCUUAUGUGCUUAUGGAAUAUUGUGUAAGGGUCUGCUUUAUUUAAACCUGCUAUGAGAAUGACAUGAGAGAAGGGUAUCAGGGCCCUAAAUAUAAAGGUUUCAAUCUCGGGAGUAUGACAUAGCAAAAUGUAUUUACAGUAUCUGACUUUUACUAUGGGUGGAAAUUUACCAGUUAGGAGAUGUAACCUUGAAGGCUGGGGAAGAGAGAUAAGUUGGCGUGAGCCCUCCCUUCUGGGUCGCACUCUGCAGCAACCUGUGUUUCUGUAUGACUGUCUGACCUUCUUUGCAAAGAAUAAAUUCAUAAAAGACA